rnacentral:rRNA from 1 species
GACGAACGCUGGCGGCGUGCUUAACACAUGCAAGUCGUACGGUAAGGCCCUUUCGGGGGUACACGAGUGGCGAACGGGUGAGUAACACGUGAGUAACCUGCCCACAACUUUGGGAUAACGCUAGGAAACUGGUGCUAAUACUGGAUAUGUGCUCCUGCUGCAUGGUGGGGGUUGGAAAGCUCCGGCGGUUGUGGAUGGACUCGCGGCCUAUCAGCUUGUUGGUGGGGUAGUGGCCUACCAAGGCGGCGACGGGUAGCCGGCCUGAGAGGGUGACCGGCCACAUUGGGACUGAGAUACGGCCCAGACGCCGACGGGAGGCAGCAGUGGGGAAUAUUGCACAAUGGGCGCAAGCCUGAUGCAGCAACGCCGCGUGCGGGAUGACGGCCUUCGGGUUGUAAACCGCUUUCAGCAGGGACGAAGCUUUUUGUGACGGUACCUGCAGAAGAAGCACCGGCUAACUACGUG